rnacentral:snRNA from 1 species
AUAUUAUCUUGGCCUUUUGGCUGAGGUCACGUAUAGUAUCUGUUCUUAUCAGUUUACUGUCUGACACACCCUCAGUGAGAAGACUUUCUAUUAAAAGAAUUUUGGGGAUUUUUGGUGCAUCUUCC